GACGAACGCUGGCGGCGUGCCUAAUACAUGCAAGUUGAGCGCUGAAGGUUGGUACUUGUACCAACUGGAUGAGCAGCGAACGGGUGAGUAACGCGUGGGGAAUCUGCCUUUGAGCGGGGGACAACAUUUGGAAACGAAUGCUAAUACCGCAUAAAAACUUUAAACACAAGUUUUAAGUUUGAAAGAUGCAAUUGCAUCACUCAAAGAUGAUCCCGCGUUGUAUUAGCUAGUUGGUGAGGUAAAGGCUCACCAAGGCGAUGAUACAUAGCCGACCUGAGAGGGUGAUCGGCCACAUUGGGACUGAGACCCGGCCCAAACUCCUAUGGGAGGCAGCAGUAGGGAAUCUUCGGCAAUAGACGAAAGUCUGACCGAGCAACGCCGCGUGAGUGAAGAAGGUUUUCGGAUCGUAAAACUCUGUUGGUAGAGAAGAACGUUGGUGAGAGUGGAAAGCUCAUCAAGUGACGGUAACUACCCAGAAAGGGACGGCUAACUACGUG
rnacentral:rRNA from 1 species